CUCCGGGCUCCAGGGCAUGCGGCCCGGACGGCUGCGUUCAGGAGAGCAGCCUGGGGGUGACUCCCAUCCCCAGGGACCCCGUUGUGCUGCUGGGGACAGGCUGAUGAGUCCAGAACAAAGUUCAGCACAAAAAGGGCUGCGGUGGGGGCCACACGGGAGCCCAGACUCAGCCAGGACACUAGCCACACCGUGUCCCCCCCACAGUGGGAGUCAGCACCCACGGCUCAACCAUGGCCGGAGCCUGGUGGAAGCCCACGUGCACAGAUGAGUUUGAGAAAGGAGGAGCCAGCUGCUGGCAGGGCCGGGUGCCGUUACUCAGGAGGGAUACAGAGGUGCUCCCCAGCAGGACACUGGACAGAUGACCACAUCAGCUGCUUAAGGCCAAGGCUGUGCAGGAGCCGAUCGGUCCCGUUCCAGAAUGGCCCAACAGGGAACCAGGCGGUUCAUAGGUGCAGAAGGAGACACCAGGCCUGAACAUACAGGGGUGACUUCACAGCAUGGACCUGGGCUGAAGCCACAGAGAAAUGUCCCGGGAAGAAACCCCAGAAGACCCUCUCAGGCUUGACAUCCCCGCACUGUAAGAGCUGCCAGCGUGGGUCCCGGCUCGCCGUCUGCCAGCCCAGGCUCUUCAUCUCAGCACCCCGAGAGGCGGACCCAUCACCCCCACCUUUCAGGAACUGGGCUGAGGCCUCGCAGCCACCUGCCCAGCGGGGGCCUGGAACUGCCGUCCGGGCUUCCCAGAGCCCAGUGGCCCAGCCCUGCUCACUUGCCUGCUCCUCGGCGGGCCAGAAGCAAGACUGACCACGGGGCCCCACGCUGGAAAGGUGCUGCUGUUCUCUUGAGAGAGAAGACAGGAAGAAGAGGACGGAAAAGGCUGCCCCUAGCCUGCAAGGGCUUCCCAGGUGAAGGAGGGUGAGAUUUUCCUGGAUAGCUCCUUGGGGAAGAGCUCUCGGCUGGGACCCCGAUCCAAGGCGGGGGACGGGAAGCAGGUGGGCAGAGCUGGAGCACUUCACGGGAGACCGGGAAAGGAGGCCCCUGGCCCCAGCUGGCUGCCCACGAGGGUGAUGUGGACCCAGGGGGACAGGCACAGGAACACUGACCUCUGGGGCUUGGGGGGUGCUGGUGGGGAAUUGGGGAGCAGAAUAAAAUGCCUGGAUCUCCUCCGCAGAGGAGGAGUAGUCUUGAAACUGGUGUGGGAGGCCAAGAGAGAAGCUUUUGGAGAGAGAAAAAAGGCCCCUAGGGUUGACUUCAGCUUCAUGGGAUCCUGGUUCUGUCCUGGGCCCUGAGGUCCUCCCAUCCUUCUUCCCCAGCACCGAGUGCCUUCCUAGUGCAGGCCCAGCAGCCCCGGGGCUCAGAGUCUGCUCAGGGCUCCGGACCCAGCAUCCCAUCAGACCCCCCGGAGCCAGUGAAACAGACACUCGGGCCCCGCCCCCAUCAGGAUUGAGAUCCACGGGCUGGGCGUGGGCCCCGGGUGUGCGUUCCUCACACGGACCCUGCCCAGCAUUUAGGCCGGGAUUUCCAGGUUCCUGUGUGUACUUCCUCCUCUCCCACCCAGCGGCCUCCCCAGGGAGCCACUGGUAUGGAGCAGGGCUCUGCCUGCUCUGAGCCAAGCUAAGCUCGCUUACAUGCGGCGGGUCGGAGGCUUCCCUGGUGCCGCAGAGCAGUUUCCGCCACAGCCCCGUGACACAUGCCUCCUGCUGUUCCCGCACUUUCUCUGGGCCGGGCCUGUUCUCUGUCCCCGUCGGCCCAUAACCUCACACCCAUGGAGGGGAGGCCAGUGAUCACUGACCUCAUGGACAGGUGGGGAGCCCGAGGCCAGAAGCGACUGCUUGUUACCACAGCCAGGAGGCUGGACAGCAGGAGAGGGAGAGAGAAGCUCAAGCAGACCCUGCUCU